GUGCCAGCAGCCGCGGUAAUACGUAGGGCGCAAGCGUUGUCCGGAAUUAUUGGGCGUAAAGAGCUCGUAGGCGGCUUGUCACGUCGGGUGUGAAAGCCCGGGGCUUAACCCCGGGUCUGCAUCCGAUACGGGCAGGCUAGAGUGUGGUAGGGGAGAUCGGAAUUCCUGGUGUAGCGGUGAAAUGCGCAGAUAUCAGGAGGAACACCGGUGGCGAAGGCGGAUCUCUGGGCCAUUACUGACGCUGAGGAGC
rnacentral:rRNA from 1 species